rnacentral:rRNA from 1 species
CACCGCGGUUAUACGAGAGGCCCGAGUUGAUAGACAUCGGCGUAAAGAGUGGUUAAGGAAAACUUAAACUAAAGCCGAACACCUUAAGAGCAGUUAUACGCCUACUAAGGUACGAAGCCCCACCACGAAAGUGGCUUUAUAACCCUGACCCCACGAAAGCUAUGAUACAAACUGGGAUUAGAUACCCCACUAUGCUUAGCCGUAAACAUUGAUAGAGAUUUACACCUUCUAUCCGCCUGGGAACUACGAGCAUUAGCUUAAAACCCAAAGGACUUGGCGGUACUUUAGAUCCCCCUAGAGGAGCCUGUUCUAUAACCGAUGACCCCCGUUCAACCUCACCCUCCCUUGUUUAUCCCGCCUAUAUACCGCCGUCGUCAGCUUACCCUGUGAAGGAUUAAUAGUAAGCAAAAUUGGCAUCGCCCAGAACGUCAGGUCGAGGUGUAGCGCAUGAGAGGGGAAGAAAUGGGCUACAUUCGCUAGCUUAGCGAAUACGAACGAUGUAAUGAAAAUGUACAUCCUGAAGGAGGAUUUAGCAGUAAGUGGAAAAUAGAGUGUUCCACUGAAAUAGGCUCUGAAGUGCGUACACACCGCCCGUCACUCUCCCCAAGCCCAUCAACCCAAGUAACUAAAACAAUACAAACGCGAAGGGGAGGCAAGUCGUAACAUGGUAAGUG